AGGAGGAGGAGAUUUGUAAUAAUAAGGUGGUGGAGGAGAUGGUGAAGGUGGUGGAGGAGAUUUGUAAUAAUAUGGUGGCGGAGGAGACGGUGAAGGAGGUGGUGGGGAUUUAUAAUAAUAUGGUGGUGGAGGAGACGGUGAAGGAGGUGGUGGGGAUUUGUAAUAGUAUGGUGGGGCCUUGUGUUCAUAUGGUGGUGGAGGAGAUUUAUAGUAGUAAGGAGGUGGAGGUGAGGGAGAAGGUGGAGGAGGAGACUUGUAGUAGUAAGGUGGAGGAGGGGAGGGAGAGGGUGGUGGGGGAGAUUUGUAAUAGUAAGGAGGUGGAAGUGAUGGAGAGGGUGGUGGAGGAGACUUAUAGUAGUAUGGUGGAGGAGGGGAGGGUGAGGGUGGUGGGGGAGAUUUGUAGUAGUAAGGAGGUGGAGGUGAUGGAGAGGGCGGAGGCGGAGACUUGUAGUAGUAUGGUGGAGCCUUGUGCUCAUAUGGCGGGGGAGGAGACUUGUAAUAGUAAG
rnacentral:lncRNA from 1 species